AGGGCUGGGGCAACUGGAGGCAUGCCUGUGCUGCUGCUUGCAGGGAAGGCCUGGGCUCCCCGCUGCAGAAGCUUCUCUAAAGAAGUCCCUGCCCCUCCUGUUCUUAGCCCUGGCUGUUUCUGGCAGCCUGUGAACCUUCUGAGCCAGCUACCUGCCCAGUAUGGAGCUUUCCAAGGAUGCCCUAGGGGGCUGAAGCUGAAAGCCAGAGGGGCUUGGAAUUCAUACCGAGAAGACUGGGGAGCCCAGCCACACGAGCGGGAGGCCUGAAAGAACCAGGAGCCUACAGCUGUCUGUCCUGUCCAUCCGUCCAUCUGUCCAUUCGUCUAUCCAUUCUCCAUCUACUUAUUAAUCUAGUCAAUCAGUGUAUGUCAUGGGCCAGGCUGUCUUCUAGGUCCUGAGAAUACGGCUGUGAACAUGAUGGAAAAGGCCUCUGACCCCGUGGGAACUGCUUUUGAAUGAUCCCAGAGACAAGCCAAAACACUAAUUGUGGCGUAAGGAUGGAAACUGAUGAGUCUUCUCUUAAACGGUGGAGGCAGCAAGCGCCCUUCACCUCCUGCCCUGAUUCAGGCAGACAUUUACAAUACAUAUAGAUGUAGCCAAAUGUGCAUACCCAUGCACGCUCACAACGCAUUCCCUCGGACAGCAACCCAGCCACAAAGUCACAGUGUGCGUCCACACACACACUUGAGUGCAUAACUAUCUAAAUACUUGUGGGCACACGCACACAAAUUCCCAUAUGCACACAUCCGUGGGCACAUGUGGCCCUUGCACAUAUUUACAUAUAUAUGCUUGGCAACACGCAGGUGCACACCCCGCUGCCAUAUGCACACUGCGUGCCCAGUCACUUCCUCAGGCACACUCAAGCAUAUGGACACAUAAGUACAUAUAAAUAUGCACACUCGGGACAGUUUGGAUCUGUAUACAUACCCUACAUGUGCCCGCACGCACACUCAUCCGGGCACAGAGGUCACCAGCACAUGAGCUUACACACGAGCACACUUGCACAUAAAUGCCCUCUCAGACUUUGACCUUUCCCCCAAAGCCCCCACACCCUACCAUUUCCCCACCCUAUCCCGGGGAAUUACCCAGAGCUCUGACAAGAGAAUGGGUUACUAAUGCAGCCACAGAGCUGUUUUGACACUUUUGACGAAUAACAUUCAAUACUAUUAAUUGGAACAAUUGCUUUUCAUUUAACUAAAUCACGGGAAUUGCUAAACUAAAUUGAA
rnacentral:lncRNA from 12 species